AACGAACGCUGGCGGCAUGCCUAACACAUGCAAGUCGAACGAGACCUUCGGGUCUAGUGGCGCACGGGUGCGUAACGCGUGGGAAUCUGCCCUUGGGUUCGGGAAUAACAGCGAGAAAUUGCUGCUAAUACCGGAUGAUGACGUAAGUCCAAAGAUUUAUCGCCCAAGGAUGAGCCCGCGUAGGAUUAGCUAGUUGGUGAGGUAAAGGCUCACCAAGGCGACGAUCCUUAGCUGGUCUGAGAGGAUGAUCAGCCACACUGGGACUGAGACACCGGCCCAGACUCCUACGGGAGGCAGCAGUGGGGAAUAUUGGACAAUGG
rnacentral:rRNA from 1 species